rnacentral:sRNA from 1 species
GCAGUGGUGUAUGUAUGCCUGCAAUCCCAGCUACUUGGGAGGCUGAGGCAGGAGGAUCAUUUGAGCCCAGGAAUCGGAGGCCAGCCUGAGCAACAUAAUGAGACCUUAUUUCAG